rnacentral:rRNA from 1 species
AUUGAACGCUGGCGGCAGGCCUAACACAUGCAAGUCGAGCGGGGUUUUCGGACCUAGCGGCGGACGGGUGAGUAAUGUAUAGGGAGCUGCCCGACAGAGGGGGAUACCAGUUGGAAACGACUGUUAAUACCGCAUAACGUCUACGGACCAAAGUGUGGGACCUUCGGGCCACAUGCUGUCGGAUGCACCUAUAUGGGAUUAGCUAGUUGGUGGGGUAAUGGCUCACCAAGGCGACGAUCCCUAGCUGGUUUGAGAGGAUGAUCAGCCACACUGGAACUGAGACACGGUCCAGACUCCUACGGGAGGCAGCAGUGGGGAAUAUUGGACAAUGGGCGCAAGCCUGAUCCAGCCAUGCCGCGUGUGUGAAGAAGGCCUUCGGGUUGUAAAGCACUUUCAGCGAGGAGGAAGGGGUUGUAGUUAAUAGCUGCAAUUUUUGACGUUACUCGCAGAAGAAGCACCGGCUAACUCCGUG